UACGGAGGAUGCAAGCGUUAUCCGGAUUCAUUGGGUUUAAAGGGUGCGCAGGCGGGGAUGUAAGUCAGUGGUGAAAAGCUGCCGCUUAACGGUAGUCUUGCCAAUGAUACUACAUUUCUUGAGUAUGGUUAAGGUAGGCGGAAUGUGCAGUGUAGCGGUGAAAUGCAUAGAGAUUGCACAGAAGGCCGAUUGCGGAGGCAGCUUACUGAGCCAUAACUGACGCUGAGGCACGAAAGCGUGGGGAUCGAACAGGAUUAGAUACC
rnacentral:rRNA from 1 species